GAUGAACGCUGGCGGCGUGCCUAAUACAUGCAAGUCGAGCGAACAGACGAGGCGCUUGCUCCUCUGACGUUAGCGGCGAACGGGUGAGUAACACGUGGAUAACCUACCUAUAAUACUGGGAUAACUUCGGGAAACCGGAGCUAAUACCGGAUAACAUGCUGAACCGCAUGGUUCAACAGUGAAAGACGGUCUUGCUGUCACUUAUCGAUGGAUCCGCGCCGCGUUAGCUAGUUGGUAAGGUAACGGCUUACCAAGGCAACGAUGCGUAGCCGACCUGAGAGGGUGAUAGGCCACCCUGGAACGGAGACAGGGUCAAGACGCCUACGGGAGGCAGCAGUAGCGAAUCUUCCGCAAUGGGCGAAAGCAUGACGGAGCAACGCCGAGUGAGUGAAGAAGGUCUUCGGAGCGGAAAACUCGGUUACGAGGUAAGAACAAAUGUGUAAGUAACUAUGCACGUCUUGACGGUACCUAAUCAGAAAGCCACGGCUAACUACGUG
rnacentral:rRNA from 1 species